UUUACGGAUCACAAUAAUUUAUUUUGGGACAUAUCAUUCAGGUUUUGACCUAUCACCUUUAGACGGUAGGGUAUUGGCCUACCGUGGCUAUGACGGGUAACGGGGAAUUAGGGUUCGAUUCCGGAAAGGGAGCCUGAAAAACGGCUACCACAUCUAAGGAAGGCAGCAGGCGCGCAAAUUACCCAAUCCUAAUACAGGGAGGUAGUGACAAGAAAUAACAAUACAGGACUUUACGGUUUUGUAAUUGGAAUGAGUUAAGUAUAAACCCCUUUACAAGUAUCAAUUGGAGGGCAAGUCUGGUGCCAGCACCCGCGGUAAUUCCAGCUCCAAUAGCGUAAAUAAAAGUUGUUGCAGUUAAAAAGCUCGUAGUUGGAUUUCKGUUAAUACCUUA
rnacentral:rRNA from 1 species